GCCGGGGUGGCGGAACAGGCAGACGCAACGGACUUAAAAUCCGUCGAUUGGAGACAAUCGUACCGGUUCGAUUCCGGUCCUCGGCA
rnacentral:tRNA from 1 species